CAGGUAUAACAGCCUGUCGCUCUUUAUUUUAAUGUAAAGGGAGGAAAGUCCGGACAACACAGAGCGCAACACUUCCUAACAGGAAGGGGUGCAGGUUGAAAAAUCUGCAUCACGGAAAGUGCAACAGAAAACAUACCGUCACGAUUUUAUCGGGAUAAGGGUGAAAUGGCGAGGUAAGAGCUCACCGGUGGCAGGGCGACCUGCCAGCCUGGCAAACCCUGUUGGUUGAAAGGCCAUGUAAACCGGAGUGUCUUUCCGAUUUUUCGGAACGAGAAGACUGCUCGUCUGAAUCUUCGGGGGGUAGGCCGAUUGAUUCCGGUGGUGACACCGGAACCAGAUAAAUGACAGGCAUUCCCGGCUUGUUCGGGUUACAGAAUCCGGCUUAUCGUUAUACCCUGCCGG
rnacentral:RNase_P_RNA from 1 species